CAUGGGCAUCGCCCUUGCUUUAGGCAUACAUGGGGCUUUAUUUUCUUAUUGUAGGUGAGGCAUCGAGGUGUUGUGUAGCCUAUAAUAGCCCCAGUCGGAACUGACGCGGGCCCGAAUAUGAAUUGACGGAAUUUUAUGCGGCUGUGAUGGCCGUAGAGGGCGAGGCCGAGACAUGGAUGGAAGAUCCAACCAAAGCUGUUGGGGCCCAACCCCAUGCAAGAGCGUGCU
rnacentral:lncRNA from 1 species